UACGGGGGGGGCAAGCGUUGUUCGGAAUUACUGGGCGUAAAGGGCUCGUAGGUGGCCAACUAAGUCGGACGUGAAAUCCCUCAGCUUAACUGGGGAACUGCGUCCGAUACUGGAUGGCUUGAGUUUGGGAGGGGGAUGCAGAAUUCCAGGUGUAGCGGUGAAAUGCGUAGAUAUCUGGAGGAACACCGGUGGCGAAGGCGGCAUCCUGGACCAACACUGACGCUGAGGCACGAAGGUCAGGGGAGCAAACGGG
rnacentral:rRNA from 1 species